UUCAAACUCUCAUAAUAAUUAUUCACUCAUGCAUUCAACUUCUUUCUUUUUUAUUAAUAGUGGCUUCCAAAUCUACAACUUCUACUGCUCCCUCUAGCCAUGCUAUCAUAGUUGAUGGCCUUCAUUCUAUAGUAGCUCCAGUUAGGAUCAGAAGGAGGGGGUGAUAAGACUCCGUAGCCUAAGUUUUAUGGAGACUAGAAGCACUUCCUCCUCUAAAGGAAGUUCUUCAAAAUCUGCCUCUUCUUCUAAAUUAAAAGCGCAUGCUAUUCUAAAUCUUCUUCUAAAGGCAAAUCAAAAUACACCAAUAAAUCUGUGGCGAAACCUCUAGUCUAUGAGAUUGUACCCCAAAAAAUUCUCGUUAUUGCUUAUUUUGCUAAAUAGAAUAAUUGCAUAAAUAAGAGGGAAGGCCGUAAUGAACAUAUUGAUCUUUUCUAUCUCUUAUUACACCUAGCCACCUUUCUCUUAGUUGCAGAGAAUGCUAAUGGAGGUCUAAUUUACCCACUGUAGCUCCUUCUACGAAUGAUCGGGUAACUAUGCACCAUGAAGGUUAUUCAUUCGUUUACACUUACUCAUAUACUCUCGAAUUUGAGCCAGCUAUAGACCCAUUAAUCAUUAAAUUUUUCCAAUACUUCAAUGUGUAUCUUGGCCAAAUAGGCACGAUAGUUUGGAGGGCAGUAGCGUAUCUACGUUACUGCAAUGAUCCGGUCGGUAAUUUUGAGUAUUUGAAUUUUUUUUCACUCAUUUAAAGUAUUGAGUAGUUUCAUAUGAUAUAUUUAUGACUUUUUGUAUCGAUGGUUUCGAUUUUCGGGCGAUCCUGAAUUUGUUCGGAAAAAUGAAUUUCUUGUUUGAAGCUUUAAGUUGGAAGAGUUGACAAGGUUUAAUUUUUUAGUAUUUGACCUCGGAUAGAAGUUUUAAUGAUUCUGUUAGGUCCAGAUCAUGAUUUUGGACUUGGGCGUAUUUUUGAAUUUGCAUUUGGAUAUUUCUAGAAGGUUUCGACACUUAUUGGCGAAAGUUGAAAAAUUAUAGGUUGGCAUGUUCUUUGAUCGGGAGUUGACUUUGAUGAUAACAAGGUCGGAUUGUGGUUUCAGGAAUUGGAACAGCUUUAUUAUGUCAUUUGAGAUUUAUGUGCAAUAUUUGAGUUCAUUUUAAGUUUAUUUGAUAAGGUUCGACACGAGUUUUGGAAGUUGAAAGAUUCAAAGUUCAUUAAGUUCAAUUUGAGGCGUGAUUCCUAGUUUUGAUAUUGUUAUGGGUUAUUUGAGGCCUUGAGUAAGUCUGUAUUAUAUUAUGGGACUUAUUGGAAUGUUCAGACAGGGUCCCGAGGGGCUCGAGCGUGAUUCAAAUUGUUUUCGGACCGUAUUUCUUUAUUUUGGAAUUGCUAGUUUCUGGUGAGUUCUAGGCAUCUGAUUUCCAUGUUCGCGAUCAUGGAGAGUGGAUCAUGAUCGCAUAGAGUUGUUUGAUGGCUAGGGAAGAUUUUUCAUCGCGUUCGCGAGUCCAGAUACGCAUUCGCAAAGGUUGAAGAAAUUGUUCAGCACGUUCAUGAGCCUAGCGACAUGUUCGCAUAGAAGGAAGG
rnacentral:lncRNA from 1 species